rnacentral:lncRNA from 1 species
AUGGUGAAUUAUUGGAUCUGACUACAGUGAGAUGCUGGCCUCCUCAUUGUUCUUGCUGGCCUCCUCAUUGUUCUUCUUGUCAAACUACUAUUAAAUGUAAGUGGAAACUGAUGAUUUGUAUCCUUUAUACUGAAGAUUAUUUCUUGUUUAUUUUCUUAAACUGCAAAGGCCUUAUCUUGUGUGUGUUAAUAUGUCACCUUGGAUAUUAAUUUUGGUAUAGGUUUGUUGUGCAGUGCUUGCGGUCAUCGUGCUCCUUGCCGGACUGGUUGCGCUGGUAGUUGUUGUUGCUGCCGUCGCUCGCGUCGGUGUACUGGUCGCGCUGGUAGUUAUUGUUGUUGCUACUGCCGUCGUGCGGCUCGCCGGACCGCGGCUGGUGGUGGUUCUGCACUGCGUUUGACGUCGGCGGGCGCUGCAGGUUCUUGAC